GUAAGGACAAAGCCAGUCAGCAUUAUUCGCCAUCAACAAGACUCUUCUGAUACACACAAGGAACACGUUUGUGCAUCUCUCCAGAGAUCAGCAUCAGCUAUCCCACACACAAAGGCAGACAGGGCUGCCUCCACAAAGAAGCAGAGCAGCUGCUGGAUGAAGACUUCUGCGAUGCUCUCCUGACAGAUCCGCAUCGAACCGCCUUUGAGCCUCAUUCUCAUACCACGCAAAAAGCAACAGCUCGUUGUGCCUUCAUUUUCUCUCCCACGAUCACAGCAAUGCAGCAUCCUUCUCUUCAUUACCUCCUGUGGCAGUUGUGUUGAGAGAAGGCACAAGGACAGUAAGCGUAAUACAUUAUCCAAAUGGCAAGUGGCUUUCACAGCCACAGAGAGCUGCUGCUGCUUCCUGAGAUGCCAUUACUUUCCAGCGUUUUUCCAGUGCUCUCCACUCCAAUUCACACUCAAAACCAGAGGUGUUGAGAGGGAGCACAGCACUGAGCGGUCUCUCCGGCCCUGCGGACACUCGUGCUGUGGGCUGAGCCUGCACAGGAAGGGUGAGCAGUGGCAGCACGUUGAGCAGGCAGUAAGUUUCCAUAAUCCUCAGCUACCUUUCUGAACCUGGAUGGUCCCUCUCCUGGGAAGCUGCAGGUCUUUCAGUCUCACACGCACACAUCUUUGUGGGCAGCCCUACAGAUUAGCCGUGCGGUAUUUUUCCAUUUCUGAUGAACGUGACAAAAUGCUGUCAUAACACACAGUACCUGGGAGCAGGCUGCAAGCCAAGGAAGUAAUUAUUUGUUCCAAACUGACCUUCUUAGGGCUGUACAGUACUUUUAUGCCUCUCAGAAUCCAUGAGUGACAAAACUAAGAUUACUUCUCCAGACUCCUUCCAACUGAUCUUGUUGGUAUAAGGAGGACAGAAGGAAGAGAGAUCCUUCUGGGAUAAAGGGGAAAAAAAAAGAAGGAAGUCAGAUUACUCCCUUAAUUCAUCCGAACUCGUAAAGGACCAUUAGCAGGAAUUUAGUAUGAAUCUCACUGGUAACUUAACAGGGAAAAAAAGAGGGGGGGGGGGGAAGAAAUUGACCGUCUGUAUCACAGAGUUUGGGAUCAAAAGGCACCCAGAAAGACAGCGCUGGGUUAAGAUCUCCCCGUGAGAUCUGGUCCCAAAGGAGAGAAAAUCCACUCCAGGAGUAAGCGUGAUGGGUGGGAGAGCCUGGGGAAAAAAAAGCAAUGAUAUAAGGAAAUAAAAAGUAACAGCUUUAGAAAGCAGAGACUUCUGCUUUAGAGAAAGAUCUCUUUUAGGCUGAAGGAACUGGUGAAUCUCAUUCUGUCCCCAGCAUCCUCAGCGGGAUGAGGAUUCAAAUCUGGCAUCACAUCAAAGAUACCUCUUCAGGGUUUCUGGAUAAGGCAUCUUUUUGGGAUGCCAGUUUAGUAGACGUGCUGAGGAUCUCACAUUUUCCCCAACAGAUGUUUGGGCGUUUGUACACCCAUAGUGUGAAUGUGCAGCUGAACAAAGGUUCAGAUGAGCAUGCUCCCUAUUCUUUCAAGCAAGGGCUUGUUCUGGGACAGUCACUCUCCCCUCAGGCAGGGCAGUGCCCCAGUGACGGCUGCCCAGAGCAAGCCAGAAGUUGCAGUGAACACA
ensembl:lncRNA